AUUGAACGCUGGCGGCAGGCCUAACACAUGCAAGUCGGGCGAGCGGCGGACGGGUGAGUAAUGUAUGGGGAUCUGCCUGAUGGAGGGGGAUAACUCCUGGAAACGGUAGCUUAUACCGCGUACCAUAGGAUGAGCCCAAGUGGGAUUAGGUAGUUGGUGAGGUAAAGGCUCACCAAGCCGACGAUCUCUAGCUGGUCUGAGAGGAUGACCAGCCACACUGGGACUGAGACACGGCCCAGACUCCUACGGGAGGCAGCAGUGGGGAAUAUUGCGCAAUGGGGGCAACCUGACGCAGCCAGUCCGCGUGAAUGAAGAAGGCCUUCGGGUUGUAAAGUUCUUUCGGUAGCGAGGCGUUAACUACAGAAGAAGCACCGGCUAACUCCGUGCCAGCAGCCGCGGUAAUUC
rnacentral:rRNA from 1 species